rnacentral:rRNA from 1 species
UACAGAGGGGGCAAGCGUUGUUCGGAAUUACUGGGCGUAAAGGGCGCGUAGGCGGCCCGCUAAGUCGAACGUGAAAUCCCCGAGCUCAACUCGGGAACUGCGUCCGAUACUGGCGGGCUUGAAUCCGGGAGAGGGAUGCGGAAUUCCAGGUGUAGCGGUGAAAUGCGUAGAUAUCUGGAGGAACACCGGUGGCGAAGGCGGCAUCCUGGACCGGCAUUGACGCUGAGGCGCGAAAGCUAGGGGAGCAAAGCGGG